UACGGGGGGGGCAAGCGUUGUUCGGAAUUACUGGGCGUAAAGGGCUUGUAGGCGGCCAACUAAGUCAGACGUGAAAUCCCUCGGCUUAACCGGGGAACUGCGUCUGAUACUGGAUGGCUUGAGUUUGGGAGAGGGAUGCGGAAUUCCAGGUGUAGCGGUGAAAUGCGUAGAUAUCUGGAGGAAUACCGGAGGCGAAGGCGGCUCACUGGGGAUUUUCUGACGCUGAGGAACGAAAGCCAGGGGAGCGAACGGG
rnacentral:rRNA from 1 species